rnacentral:rRNA from 1 species
ACGACUCUCGGCAACGGAUAUCUCGGCUCUCGCAUCGAUGAAGAACGUAGCGAAAUGCGAUACCUGGUGUGAAUUGCAGAAUCCCGCGAACCAUCGAGUCUUUGAACGCAAGCUGCGCCCGAGGCCACUCGGCCGAGGGCACGCCUGCCUGGGCGUCACGC